rnacentral:tRNA from 1 species
GAUGUAACUCAGCGGUAGAGCACUUGCCUAACAUGUGCAAGGCCCUGGGUUUGAUUCCCAGCAUC